AGAGAGAGAGAGUGUGUGUGAGAGGGACAGAGAGAGGGCGGGAGAUACAGCAGCUGGAAGCAAGAGAGAAAAUCCCAGCCCAGCCUCUGCAAGCAUCAUUUUUCACAUCGGAUUUAAUCCGUUCUCGUCGACCACCAAUUCACGCCAAGAUAUGAGUUCCACCCGUUGAAGUUUACUUCAUGCUGAAUUGAACGUGGUCCAGUGGUGUCCUCCGCUCUCCAGUGUGCUGCCCUCCUCUUCCCAGUUCACUGCCCCUCUGUCUGUCUGGAGGAAAAGAGGGAAGCCGGAUGUUGAUGAGACAGAAAGGCGGAGUGACAGAACGAGGGAGAGGGGAG